AAAUACUGUCAAAUCAGUGUCAGUGUGUUUUGCAGUAAUUAUGCUAUGAUAAUAUUGUGUGUAAGUGUUUAAUUGUGGAAAUUCUUGGAAUCCAUAUACAUCGCUGCAAGAUUAGUAUAUAUAGACGGAGGAACGAAGAAGAGUUAGAGCACGAUGUAAUUUUAGAGCUCCUCAAAUAUUUCAACAUAAUGGGAUGUUCCUUGCCGGGCCUAGUGGAUGUAGACGAGGACUUGGAUGUUGUGAGCGUCCCGCCAGCUUGCACGCCUUCGGACUUGAGGUCCUGACCAUGCUGCGCUGAAGCCGCGCCCGACGCUUGGGAAUCUUCGUUCGUCUGUACAUCAAUAAAUUAAUAAGACAUAAUUUCAAUCAUACAAUUCUGCACUAAACUAAUUGUUUCUAUUUAGCCCAAUGGUUGACUGGUAGAACUGGUAGAUAAUUGUAAAUGAUCAUUUCAAGAAAGUCUGUGGCAUUCUUAUGCCAAUAGGUCACGUAAUAGAAUAGUCGGCCCACUUAUCCCUUGAUGAAAGUCUGAACCUACAAAUCUGAAUUACUGUUACUCCUACGCUUUAAUAGAUACUUAGCAAAACAAUAUUUCACAUUCCAUGUCUAGCGGGGACUACGUGGGCAGAUUAUGGGCUAUUUUUAUUAAAGGCGUAACCUUUGGUUUGCCGUGGGUGUGCUAAGCAGAGCCGGUAAUUUAUAAAAUGUCAUCCUUAUUAUUGUUGUUCAUGUUAGUGUUAUUAACGUCGUCUAAUUUGAAAUAUCCUCAUUACUCAUAAAGGUUUAAAUAGAUAAGCAGAAAAAUCUUUGACUAGAAAUUCAUACUCACAUUUAUGAAUUAGGGCUUGUUUCACAACGUCCAAGUAAAGUCAUGAAUAAGCUAAAUACUUGCCACUUAUCUGACCAAUAAAGUCAUCGUUGGCGAUUCACAAUCUUCAAAUAAACUUAACUGGUAGAUAAAGUGCUAAGAUUUGCAGGAAGUUUCAUCUGACAAUUAAUUUAUUUGUGAAUAAGCUAUCCAAUACUUUACUUGGAGAUUGUAAAACAUGCCCUUAGUAAUGAUUAUUAAAAAACCUAUGCCUAUGAUAACGAUGAUCAAUUACUUAAUUUGUAGUAUUAGUUAUAACUAAUAUUAAAAAUGUACUUUGAUAAAGGAAAGAAGUUUACAUUUCCUCGAAGAAUGUGGUUUAUUUAAUCCAUAAAUAAAUACAACAUGCUAAAUGACAAGAUUUUUUUUAUACUACGUGGGUGGCAAACAAGCAUACGGCCCGCCUGAUGGUAAGCAGUCUCCGUAGGCUAUGUACGCCUGCAACUCCAGAGGAAUUAUAUGCGCGUUGCCGACCCUAAACCCGCCCCCCCUCGUUGAGCUCUGGCAACCUUGCUCACCGGCAGGAUCACAACACUGACUAGGGUCUAGGGUUAUUUGGCUGCUGUUUUCUGUAAGGUGGAGGUACUUCUCCAGUUGGGCUCUGCUCUAGAUCUGGAAUGACAUCCACUGGCUGUGCCCUACCACACAAAGCGAGAUGACAUUCACAAUGCCCAUACCUCUCGUUUGGACGUAGUUUAAGGACGUACCCGGGUCCAAAGAUAUAAACGACCUGACCUUUGUAUAGUAAUUAUAAUAAGCAAGAAAUUUACUAGCGAUUUUACUCUAACCUAUCAUUAGAGUAAAAUCGCUUUAUAGGUAUUUUAAAACUCCACCAAAAUUUGCUUAGGUCAGUUUAUGUCAUUUCUAACUGGUUUCUAAUGUCAGUAAAUAGAUUAGCUUAUUUUGUUAAAUUUGUAUACCCAUUAUAUUGAUUGCUGAGAUACAG